UAUUAUAUAUGUAUGACAAUUUUAAUACUUGUCUGUUUCUGUAAAGGUAUUAUAUAUGUAUGACAAUUUUAAUACUUGUCUGUUUCUGUAAAGGUAUUAUAUAUGUAUGACAAUUUUAAUACUUGUCUGUUUCUGUAAAGGUAUUAUAUAUGUAUGAUAAUUUUAAUACUUGUCUGUUUCUGUAAAGGUAUUAUAUAUGUAUGACAAUUUUAAUACUUGUCUGUUUCUGUAAAGGUAUUAUAUAUGUAUGACAAUUUUAAUACUUGUCUGUUUCUGUAAAGGUAUUAUAUAUGUAUGACAAUUUUAAUACUUGUCUGUUUCUGUAAAGGUAUUAUAUAUGUAUGACAAUUUUAAUACUUGUCUGUUUCUGUAAAGGUAUUAUAUAUGUAUGAUAAUUUUAAUACUUGUCUGUUUCUGUAAAGGUAUUAUAUAUGUAUGACAAUUUUAAUACUUGUCUGUUUCUGUAAAGGUAUUAUAUAUGUAUGACAAUUUUAAUACUUGUCUGUUUCUGUAAAGGUAUUAUAUAUGUAUGACAAUUUUAAUACUUGUCUGUUUCUGUAAAGGUAUUAUAUAUGUAUGAUAAUUUUAAUACUUGUCUGUUUCUGUAAAGGUAUUAUAUAUGUAUGACAAUUUUAAUACUUGUCUGUUUCUGUAAAGGUAUUAUAUAUGUAUGACAAUUUUAAUACUUGUCUGUUUCUGUAAAGGUAUUAUAUAUGUAUGAUAAUUUUAAUACUUGUC